CAGCAGCCGCGGUAACACGUAGGGGGCGAGCGUUGUCCGGAAUUACUGGGCGUAAAGGGCGCGUAGGCGGCCUAAUAAGUCAGAUGUGAAACCCCCGGGCUUAACCCUGGGCUUGCAUUUGAAACUGUUGGGCUUGAGGACAGGAGAGGAAAGCGGAAUUCCCAGUGUAGCGGUGAAAUGCGUAGAUAUUGGGAGGAACACCAGUGGCGAAGGCGGCUUUCUGGACUGUAACUGACGCUGAGGCGCGAAAGCCAGGGUAGCGAACGGGAUUAGAUACCCCGGUAGUCCUGGCCGUAAACGAUGGAUACUAGGUGUGGGAGGUAUCGACCCCUUCCGUGCCGUAGCCAACGCACUAAGUAUCCCGCCUGGGGAGUACGGCCGCAAGGCUGAAACUCAAAGGAAUUGACGGGGGCCCGCACAAGCGGUGGAGCAUGUGGUUUAAUUCGAUGCAACGCGAAGAACCUUACCAGGUCUUGACAUCCCUUUGACCGGUAUAGAGAUAUACCUUUCCUUCGGGACAGAGGAGACAGGAGGUGCAUGGCC
rnacentral:rRNA from 1 species